rnacentral:rRNA from 1 species
CCUACGGGAGGCAGCAGUGAGGAAUAUUGGUCAAUGGACGAGAGCCUGAACCAGCCAAGUAGCGUGAAGGAUGACUGCCCUAUGGGUUGUAAACUUCUUUUAUAUGGGAAUAAAAGAGGGUAUGCAUACCCUCUUGUAUGUACCAUAUGAAUAAGGAUCGGCUAACUCCGUGCCAGCAGCCGCGGUAAUACGGAGGAUCCGAGCGUUAUCCGGAUUUAUUGGGUUUAAAGGGAGCGUAGGUGGAUUGUUAAGUCAGUUGUGAAAGUUUGCGGCUCAACCGUAGAAUUGCAGUUGAAACUGGCAGUCUUGAGUACAGUAGAGGUAGGCGGAAUUCGUGGUGUAGCGGUGAAAUGCAUAGAUAUCACGAAGAACUCCGAUUGCGAAGGCAGCUCACUGGACUGCAACUGACACUGAUGCUCGAAAGUGUGGGUAUCAAACAGGAUUAGAUACCCCAGUAGUC